rnacentral:rRNA from 1 species
AGGGAAUAGAUACCCUGGUAGUCCUGGCUGUAAACGAUGUCGACUAGAUCGCAGCGGCUCUGACGCCGUUGUGGUCGAAGCAAAAGUGCUAAGUCGACCGCCUGGGAAGUACGGUCGCAAGGCUAAAACUCAAAGGAAUUGACGGGGGCUCACACAAGCGGUGGAGCAUGUGGUUCAAUUCGAAGCAACGCGCAGAACCUUACCUGGGCUUGACAUGCUAGGAUUAUCCCUGUGAAAGCAGGGUAGGCCCUGGGUACGACUAGUACAGUGCUGCAUGGCUGUCGUCAGCUCGUGUCGUGAGAUGUC